rnacentral:misc_RNA from 1 species
GUAAAUUUCUGCGUCAUUUUUCAUAUACAUAAGUAUUAAUUAUAUCUUGUUGCGGUAUUGCCAAGCUGUUUAAACUGUUUGCCAGACUAGUUUGGGUUUUAAAAGUUUUAGUUGUAAAAGUUGUAAAAGUAAUAUGUAUCUACCGACUUGCUGGUAUUUGCUUCUAUUUUUCAUAUUCUCAACAAAGCUGCGAUUUCAUUGAGACGCGAUUACAAUUUCUCCGAGAUUUCUACGUCUAGAUUAGGCUAUGCCCGGGGCUAAGAUUGAUACGUUGUCGAAAUAUGUUACAAUUACUGUAUUGCUCUUUCCAUAUGUCGGCGGCAAGGACAGUGUAGAAUACUGGGCCCAGUACGCUUCCUUGUGGAACACCGGAGCGUAUUAGAUCUAGGUCGAAGCUACGUUGAGACGCUGCUUGGUUGCGUGCCUCGAUCAAUGGGUUAUAUCUCUUCGAAGGUGACGUCACUGACUUCGAUGGAGCGAUACACUUCCGCUGUUGGCUUCGAUGUAAACACGUGGCACUGUGUGGUCACUGAGCAAGUCUAGAGCGCAAGUGGAAGAGGGAUGAAAUGAGCCUCCUGAUGUCGUAGAAGAAGUAUAGAGAUGAAGUGACUGUUCUGUAGUGAUGAGAGCAAGUCUAGAGGGAUGAAGCGACUGCUCUGUCGCGAUGAGAACAAGUUUAGAGCACAAGUUGACUGUCCUGUGGUCCCGAGAACAAGUUUAGAGCAUAAGUUGACUGUUCUGUAGUCCCGAGAACAAGUGAAGUUCGUUCUUAUAUGGUUACGGAGGAAAGCUCGAUAAGAGUGUGUCCUUUGAACGAAGAACGUGGAUUCGUUGCUCACACUUUUCGUUAGGAAAGUGAGGGUAACGAUUCACGAUGCCGAUUGAUUACGACCAACGUUUGAAAUGAAGAUAGGAAGAAGAAGCCUCCUACCAACGUGGCACAUGGGCGACAUUGUUUAUGGAAAACCAGCUUUUCCAUUAGACAACUAUUCGUUUUUUCCAUAAGGCCGAGGCUAUACGUCGAGCGCAUUCUGCCACCCACGAUCUUCUGAAGCUCUUCAAAGUGCAAAAUCGCUUGAAAAAUGGAACGCCUGGUAGGAUAAUCCAUAGUUGAUUAUUGGAAAAUGUUUGGUGAAAAUUGGAAUUUUUUACCGCAUCGUUCGAA